rnacentral:rRNA from 1 species
AUUGAACGCUGGCGGCAGGCCUAACACAUGCAAGUCGAGCGGAUGAAGGGAGCUUGCUCCUGGAUUCAGCGGCGGACGGGUGAGUAAUGCCUAGGAAUCUGCCUGGUAGUGGGGGAUAACGUCCGGAAACGGGCGCUAAUACCGCAUACGUCCUGAGGGAGAAAGUGGGGGAUCUUCGGACCUCACGCUAUCAGAUGAGCCUAGGUCGGAUUAGCUAGUUGGUGGGGUAAAGGCCUACCAAGGCGACGAUCCGUAACUGGUCUGAGAGGAUGAUCAGUCACCCUGGAACUGAGACACGGUCCAGACUCCUACGGGAGGCAGCAGUGGGGAAUAUUGGGCGAUGGGCGAAAGCCUGAUCCAGCCAUGCCGCGUGUGUGAAGAAGGUCUUCGGAUUGUAAAGCACUUUAAGUUGGGAGGAAGGACAGUACGUUUAUACCUUGCUGUUUUGACGUUACCAACAGAAUAAGCACCGGCUAACUUCGUG